GACGAACGCUGGCGGCGUGCUUAACACAUGCAAGUCGAACGGAAAGGCCCUGCUUUUGUGGGGUGCUCGAGUGGCGAACGGGUGAGUAACACGUGAGUAACCUGCCCUUGACUUUGGGAUAACUUCAGGAAACUGGGGCUAAUACCGGAUAGGAGCUCCUGCUGCACGGUGGGGGUUGGAAAGUUUCGGCGGUUGGGGAUGGACUCGCGGCUUAUCAGCUUGUUGGUGGGGUAGUGGCUUACCAAGGCUUUGACGGGUAGCCGGCCUGAGAGGGUGACCGGCCACAUUGGGACUGAGAUACGGCCCAGCCUCCUACGGGAGGCAGCAGUGGGGAAUAUUGCACAAUGGGCGGAAGCCUGAUGCAGCAACGCCGCGUGCGGGAUGACGGCCUUCGGGUUGUAAACCGCUUUCGCCUGUGACGAAGCGUGAGUGACGGUAAUGGGUAAAGAAGCACCGGCUAACUACGUG
rnacentral:rRNA from 1 species